rnacentral:lncRNA from 1 species
GCGGUGGCGGCGGCGGCGGUGGCGGCCGAGGAGGAGAACAUGGCGGCCGCGGAGAGCGGCUGAAAUGCCUGUUCUUCAGGCCGGGCGAGCGGGAGUCUGACGCGAUUUGCUGAGCUCUGUCCUCCGACGGCUGCCUCGCGGCCUUGAGGGCCUCCGCCGCCUGUUCGCUGCUGCUCCCUCGAGCGGAGCCUGCGUCAGGUUCCCUCUGCAUCCCCCUGCGGGGGGACCCCUGCUCCGGAGGAGGGGGCCGGAGAGCCGCGGCGCCGGGCCCGAGGAGCGGCGGAGGCCGGGGCGGCGCCGCCGCCACGGUCGCGGACGAGUGCGGCGCCGGUGAGCGGGGCCCAGAGGCGGCGGCGGCAG